rnacentral:rRNA from 1 species
GUUGUAUGGUUAAGUGACUAAGCGUACAUGGUGGAUGCCUUGGCAGUCAGAGGCGAUGAAGGACGUACUAACCUGCGAUAAGCCGUGAGCAGUCGGUAAGAGACAUUACGACUCACGGAUUUCCGAAUGGGGAAACCCACUUAGCAUAAGCUAGGUAUCGCUACGUGAAUACAUAGCGUAGCGAGGCGAACCGGGAGAACUGAAACAUCUAAGUACCCCGAGGAAAAGAAAUCAACCGAGAUUCCCUCAGUAGCGGCGAGCGAACGGGGAUUAGCCCUUAAGCAUCUUGGAAGUUAGUGGAACGGUCCUGGAAAGGCCGGCGAUACAGGGUGAUAGCCCCGUACACGAAAACAACCUUGAUGUGAAAUCGAGUAGGGCGGGACACGUGACAUCCUGUCUGAAUAUGGGGGGACCAUCCUCCAAGGCUAAAUACUCCUGACUGACCGAUAGUGAACCAGUACCGUGAGGGAAAGGCGAAAAGAACCCCUGUGAGGGGAGUGAAAUAGAACCUGAAACCGUGUACGUACAAGCAGUGGGAGCCCUUCGGGGUGACUGCGUACCUUUUGUAUAAUGGGUCAGCGACUUACAUUUUGUAGCGAGGUUAACCGUAUAGGGGAGCCGUAGGGAAACCGAGUCUUAACUGGGCGUCUAGUUGCAAGGUGUAGACCCGAAACCGGGUGAUCUAGCCAUGGGCAGGUUGAAGGUUGAGUAACAUCAACUGGAGGACCGAACCCACUAACGUUGCAAAGUUAGGGGAUGACCUGUGGCUGGGGGUGAAAGGCCAAUCAAACUCGGAGAUAGCUGGUUCUCCCCGAAAGCUAUUUAGGUAGCGCCUCGGACGAAUACUACUGGGGGUAGAGCACUGUUUGGGCUAGGGGGUCAUCCCGACUUACCAACCCCAUGCAAACUCCGAAUACCAGUAAGUAAUAUCCGGGAGACACACGGCGGGUGCUAACGUCCGUCGUGAAGAGGGAAACAACCCAGACCGCCGGCUAAGGUCCCAAAGUUCUGGUUAAGUGGGAAACGAUGUGGGAAGGCUCAGACAGCUAGGAUGUUGGCUUAGAAGCAGCCAUCAUUUAAAGAAAGCGUAAUAGCUCACUAGUCGAGUCGGCCUGCGCGGAAGAUGUAACGGGGCUCAAACCAGGCACCGAAGCCGCGGAUUCACACUAAGUGUGAGUGGUAGGGGAGCGUUCUGUAAGUCUGCGAAGGUGUGUCGAGAGGCAUGCUGGAGAUAUCAGAAGUGCGAAUGCUGACGUAAGUAACGAUAAAGGGGGUGAAAAGCCUCCUCGCCGGAAGACCAAGGGUUCCUGUCCAACGUUAAUCGGGGCAGGGUGAGUCGACCCCUAAGGCGAGGCCGAAAGGCGUAGUCGAUGGGAAGCAGGUUAAUAUUCCUGCACGACUUGUAAUUGCGAUGGGGGACGGAGAAGGCUAGGUGGGCCAGGCGACGGUUGUCCUGGUGAAAGUGCGUAGGUGGUGUUUCUAGGCAAAUCCGGAGACACAACACUGAGACACGAGACGAACACACUACGGUGUGGAAGCCAUUGAUGCCCUGCUUCCAGGAAAAGCCUCUAAGCUUCAGAUUACAAGUCAUCGUACCCCAAACCGACACAGGUGGUCGGGUAGAGAAUACCAAGGCGCUUGAGAGAACUCGGGUGAAGGAACUAGGCAAAAUAGAACCGUAACUUCGGGAGAAGGUUCGCUCUUGACAGUGAAGUCCCUUGCGGAUGGAGCAGUUGGGAGUCGCAGUGACCAGAUGGCUGGGACUGUUUAUCAAAAACACAGCACUCUGCAAACACGAAAGUGGACGUAUAGGGUGUGACACCUGCCCGGUGCCGGAAGGUUAAUUGAUGGGGUUAGCGCAAGCGAAGCUCUUGAUCGAAGCCCCGGUAAACGGCGGCCGUAACUAUAACGGUCCUAAGGUAGCGAAAUUCCUUGUCGGGUAAGUUCCGACCUGCACGAAUGGUGUAACCAUGGCCAUGCUGUCUCCACCCGAGACUCAGUGAAAUCGAAUUCGCCGUGAAGAUGCGGUGUACCCGCGGCUAGACGGAAAGACCCCGUGAACCUUUACUACAGCUUGGCACUGAACAUUGAACCUACAUGUGUAGGAUAGGUGGGAGGCUUUGAAGGCGUGACGCCAGUUGCGCUGGAGCCGUCCUUGAAAUACCACCCUUGUAUGUUUGAUGUUCUAACGCAGGCCCGUGAAUCCGGGUCGCGGACAGUGCCUGGUGGGUAGUUUGACUGGGGCGGUCUCCUCCCAAAGAGUAACGGAGGAGCACGAAGGUUGGCUAAUCCUGGUCGGACAUCAGGAGGUUAGUGCAAUGGCAUAAGCCAGCUUAACUGCGAGACGGACAGGUCGAGCAGGUACGAAAGUAGGUCAUAGUGAUCCGGUGGUUCUGAAUGGAAGGGCCAUCGCUCAACGGAUAAAAGGUACUCCGGGGAUAACAGGCUGAUACCGCCCAAGAGUUCAUAUCGACGGCGGUGUUUGGCACCUCGAUGUCGGCUCAUCACAUCCUGGGGCUGAAGUCGGUCCCAAGGGUAUGGCUGUUCGCCAUUUAAAGUGGUACGCGAGCUGGGUUCAGAACGUCGUGAGACAGUUCGGUCCCUAUCUGCCGUGGGCGUUGGAUGAUUGAAGGGAGUUGCUCCUAGUACGAGAGGACCGGAGUGAACGAACCUCUGGUGUUCGGGUUGUCACGCCAGUGGCACUGCCCGGUAGCUAAGUUCGGAAUCGAUAACCGCUGAAAGCAUCUAAGCGGGAAGCGAGCCCUGAGAUGAGUCAUCCCUGACCCCUUGAGGGUCCUAAAGGGCCGUUGGAGACCACAACGUUGAUAGGUGGGGUGUGUAAGCGCGGCGACGUGUUGAGCUAACCCAUACUAAUUACCCGUGAGGCUUAACCAUACAACACCCAAGAAGUGUUCU